rnacentral:rRNA from 1 species
AUGGGUAUCCUAUCCGAGCCCAUUGAUUGCAAGACAGUCCUGAUCAGGAGUGAGCUUUGCAAGACUGGGCAUGCCAGAUGUAACAAAAGAUUAGUCCUUUUUCCUUCUCGCGAACCACGGGAGCGCCCAGCGCCCAGAAGAGCAAAGCUCAUUUUCAAAACAGGGUCAAGCGGCGCAUUAAAAAGGGCUGGCCCGUUAAAAGGACGCUUACUUUGCGAACGAAGUUCAGAAUCAACAAGGGUUCUCCGAACGAAGGGAGUGUACAACUGGGGCGCAGCCCAACUUUUUUGUUGGAGAGAUAGAAUGGAGUUCUUCACGAAGUUCGAGACAAAGGAAAAAAUCAAAGUUUCUCUAUAG